GUGUGGGGCCCAAGGAGUUGAGGAAGGACGCCUCCCUUUCCCUUGAGCUGCUGCAUACCCUGGACUCUCCUGAGGGACCCUUUCAUUGAUCAAUGAGCUGGACGGCCUGGCCAAGGGGCAGGAGACAGACCACCGGGCUGGGGGCUACGCCCGUGUGGUACAAGAAAAGGCCCGCAAGUCCAUCGAGUUCCUCGAGCAGCGAUUCGAGAGUCGGGACUCUUGCCUGCGAGCCCUGACCAGCCGUGGCAAUGAACUCGAAUCCAUCGCCUUCCGCAGUGAGGACAUCACUGGCCAGCUGGGUAACAACGAUGAUCUCAUCCUCUCCUGCUGCCUCCACUACUGCAAAGACAAGGCCAAGGACUUUAUGCCUACCAGCAAAGAGGAGCCAAUCCGGCUACUGCGGGAGGUGGUGCUGUUGACAGAUGACCGGAACCUGCGUGUGAAGGCGCUCACAAGGAAUGUUCCUGUACGGGACAUCCCAGCCUUCCUCACAUGGGCUCAAGUGGGCUGAGGGAGCCACACUGGGGCCCCCCCCGUGGAACCGUUCCU
rnacentral:sRNA from 1 species